GCACUAACAGCCUGAGAGAAAAGGACACUGCAUAUCACAGAGAGAUGCAUAGAUGUUACACUCAGAAAGAGAGUGAACAACUAGAAGAUGUGGAAGAACCAGUUUGGCUCUGGAGUCAAGAAUUCUCAAAACAGCUUUCUGAACCUGAAUCGCACGCAGUAAAGCUGGUGUUCUCCUGAAGCCAACAUUUAUGGUAUCACCUUGCUGAUCCAGGCAAAAUGGCAAAAGUGUAGUGAACAUAAAGCCAGGGGCUGAGAUUGUGGAUGUCCUCUGUACCAAGUUUCUUAUUAUGGUAAGGGUAGAAGUUCACCAGGCUUAGAAUAUAAACUGACACCUUGAAGAAGUGACCAUCUUGUAAUCAACACUUUAUUCUAAGGAUAACAGAGAUAAAUGAUAUAAGGAUCUCUGUUUCUUAAUGGCAUUGUUGAGCCCUAAACUUUCUACUGCUAGAUAUUUUAUCGCAUGAAAUAAAUAAGCCUUAGUUGCUUAAAAUA
rnacentral:lncRNA from 1 species